AUUGAACGCUGGCGGCAGGCCUAACACAUGCAAGUCGAACGAGUGGCGGACGGGUGCGUAAUGUCUGGGAAACUGCCCGAUGGCGGGGGAUAACUACUGGCAACGGUAGCUAAUACCGCAUACCAUCGUUGGUGCCCCGCUGGGAUGAGCUAGUAGGUGGGGUAACGCCUCACCUAGGCGACGAUCCCUAGCUGGUCUGAGAGGAUGACCAGCCACACUGGAACUGAGACACGGUCCAGACUCCUACGGGAGGCAGCAGAGCGGAAUAUUGGACAAUGGGGGAAAGCCUGAUGCAGCCAUGCGGCGGGUAUGAAGAAGGCCUUCGGGUUGUAAAGUACUUUCAGCGAGGAGGCGUUACUCGCAGAAGAAGCACCGGCUAACUCCGUGCCAGCAGCCGCGGUAAUUC
rnacentral:rRNA from 1 species